AGCUUGGGUUGCUUGCAGCCAAGAAGGCUUGCCAGAUAAAAGCGCCUCCUUGUCAGGCUGCUGUGAAGCUUCACUGCAAUUGCACUUGGAGAGUUGUACACUGAAUGCCUAGCUCAGGACACGGCAGCUCUUGAGACGAUUACAGACUCAGAUGGCCCCCAUGAAGGGAUGAACUGAGUUAAACACAAGGUGUGGAGUCAGCAGGAAGGAUGCACAGAAUCCUGGUUGCUCAACUGGCCACUCUGCCCUCGGCACUCAGAUUCUGGCUACUUGGGAUGUCCUGUUUGCCAUCUCCACCAAGAAUUGGCAACACCAGGUGAACACAAUGGAAGGAAGGCAUAGACACAUCCAACAGCCACACCAAACCAACUAGCAUGUUGAGUGAUGAUUUGGGCAACAAAUGUUCCUUCUUAACCGUGGCUCAUCAGCCCUAACGUGAAAAUCACUUCACAGUCUGGGGAUGCACAGACAAUGGGCCCCAGGAGGAAAACAGAUGAAGGUGAAGGGCUCAAGGGCAGAGGUCCAAGACCAGCUCUGGAGGUCAAACAUUUAUCCCAGGGACGUGCCUGUAACUGCUCCUCCUGGCCUCUUUACCAUCAAGCACGCUUUACGUGGUCAAACCUGCUUUUUACCUGACGGGUCUGAAUCAGGCAUGUGGCCGUACAUUAUCCCUUAGUACAUUCCACACACCAAGGUACCGACCAUCACCAUCAACAAUGUCAUCAUCAACAGCAUCUUUUUCUUCUUCCUAACAUUUAUGAAGCUACUAUUAACCCCCAGGGACAUGCUGCACAUUUUCUGCACAUUAGUUCUUUAAUGCUUAGAAUUGCUGUAUGAGGCCAGGUACUAUUACUAUCAUGAAUAAACUGGUGCUUGGAGAACCUGGGUGACUUGUCCAAGGUCACACAGCUAACAAGUGAUGGAGCCACAAUUCACCACCAGGAUUGGCCAUGCCCUUAACCAUUCAGCUCUGCCCCAGCUGAUGAUGGUUCCGGGAUGCUCUCUUUCCACGCCUCACACUCACGUGUUCUGACUCUCAUUUCAGCCUGCCUUAUUCUCAGCAGAUCUUUCUUGGCAGCCCGAGCAGCCAAAGAACAGAACUUUUGCUAAAGUGCCUUUGUGGUUUUUAUUUGGAAGAUGAGUUUUAGCCCUGGUUGGGGCUGGUGGUGGAUCUACACUGUAAACUCUUAUGUACGUGCCAUAAACAUGGCCCUUCAUGGGGCUUCCCAGGUGGCUCAGUGGUAAAGAAUCCACCUGCCAAUGCAGGAGACUCAGGAGAUGUGGAUUUGAUCCCUGGGUCAGGAAGAUUCCUUGGAGAAGGAACUGUAACCCACUCCAGUAAUCAUGCCUGGAAAAUCCCAUGGACAGGGAAGACUGGUGGGCUACAGUCCAUGGGCUCGCAGAGCUGGACACGACUGUUUAUGCGUGCACAGGACUGAUGACAAUAUACUGAUGAUGGCCAUUGAAUGUCACAUGCAAAGGCAGAGGGUUGGGUACACACUCUUUCCUCAGUCCAAUGUGUCAAUGAUGGAAAAAUGAAUCACAGCCACAUCACUUCGAUGAGGAAAAAAAAAAUCAGAAGAAGCAUGCAUCUUUCUGAAAGGCCAUUGUGCAGGCAGGCUCAGGCCGUCCCUGGGUGUGGGGGCGGUGCACAGAAUGGGGAUCCGGAGGGGAGCAGUCUUGAGAACUAUCAGGCCCCAAUACUACGCUGCUGGGGCUACUGUAGCUCCCGACUUUUUACUCCUUCUCCUUUGAUCCAGGGACGCAGGAGCAGAGCUAAUCAAUGAGAUGUGUUGACAGAGGUGCCUGUAGCACAGCCAUCUCUCAGGCCCGACACGGAUGGCACCAUCACGAGCACUGAAAGGCUACCAGAGACAGGAGGGAGGCUCAUCCCCUGGCAGGCCUGUCUGAUAAACGUCCCCCAUAAGCUCACAGCGAAGAAACCAUUUCCAGGAGGCAUCACGCCACCAGCCUGUCACCUGGCCUCCUACAUCCCAGCGGACAUUUCCUUGUGUUGUUUAACAGCUUUACCCUGGCUUGCCAGUACUGAGCAGGCUGUCUCCAAGACCCCUUCGCCUAUAUUAUUCCCGUGGGUCAUGUUGAGAGAGCAGAUCUCCCGAGGAAUGCUGAUGGAGGGUUGGUGGCAGCUCCCGGCUCCCUGGGAGGUGUGGCAGAGACCCAUGUGCUGAGGAGAGGCGUUCCAGAUUAAAUUACCCCAGGGAGGCCACACCUCAACAGUCCUGCCUCAUUUUUCGGAGAGGAAAAGGCAUGAUGCUGCCAAAAUCAUUGCCUAACAGGCUUUUUCCCUUCUUCUUCUUUCUCAGAAAAAAAAAGUCUGGAUGCUGCAGCCAAGGC
ensembl:lncRNA